GAGCAGAGAAUGUGAAAGCCUUGCCCCACUUCAUCACUCCCUCCUGAAGCUCCCUGGGGCAGUGCUUGAUCACCGCUGGCCUAUGUUAUAUUUCCUAGGCAGUCCAGGUGCUCCUUUACUGCUCACCACAUCUAUAACCUCAUAGUACAUCAGAGGAUCAACAUUACAGUCCACAGUGGAUGGAAAAUUCCAAGCCUGCUAACAAUUAGAAAAGUGCUCUUCUAAUUAAAGGACCUGUCCAUCAAAUUUCCUUGGGUGUCUGCCACCAAGUUGCUGAUGCCACCAUGAUGUCAUCCUAACCUCCUCAUACAGACAACCUCACCAAUGUGUCCUGGAACUUCACCUCUCCAGUCCUACCCCACUAGGAAAAGAUAGAAACAGGCUAGAAGUAUGGAUCAACCUGCUAACAUCCAUGUCCAGUGGAGAAGCAAUUACAGAAGCCAGAACACCCACCUUCUGCAUCUCAAAAAUAAUUCUGGCCCAUACCCCCAAAGAGAUAAAGAAGAGGGAAGAUUCCAGAAGAGGGGAUGGGACAUGGAACUCUGGUGUUGGGAAUUGUGUGGAAUUGCAAACUGUUACCUUCCAAUCUUAUUAAUCAUUAGUAAAUCACUAAUAAAAAUUUUAAAAGAA